rnacentral:rRNA from 1 species
UACGUAGGCAGCAAGCGUUGUUCGGAAUUACUGGGCGUAAAGGGCGCGCAGGCGGCUCUGAAAGUCAGAUGUGAAAGCCCCGGGCUUAACCUGGGAACUGCAUUUGAUACUCUGGAGCUUGAGUACGGGAGAGGAUAGUGGAAUUCCCAGUGUAGAGGUGAAAUUCGUAGAUAUUGGGAAGAACACCGGUGGCGAAGGCAGCUCUCUGGGACGGUACUGACGCUGAGACGCGAAAGCGUGGGGAGCGAACAGG